CAGCCGCCGCGGUAAUACGUAGGGUCCGAGCGUUGUCCGGAAUUAUUGGGCGUAAAGGGCUCGUAGGCGGUUUGUCGCGUCGGGAGUGAAAACCAGCAGCUUAACUGCUGGCCUGCUUUCGAUACGGGCAGACUUGAGGCAUUCAGGGGAGAACGGAAUUCCUGGUGUAGCGGUGAAAUGCGCAGAUAUCAGGAGGAACACCGGUGGCGAAGGCGGUUCUCUGGGAAUGUUCUGACGCUGAGGCGCGAAAGUGUGGGGAGCGAACAGGAUUAGAUACCCGCGUAGUCCCUGUCUCUUAUAA
rnacentral:rRNA from 1 species